rnacentral:rRNA from 1 species
UACGUAGGGGGCAAGCGUUGUCCGGAUUUAUUGGGCGUAAAGAGCGUGUAGGCGGCCAUGUAGGUCAGCUGUGAAAACUCGAGGCUCAACCUCGAGACGCCGGUUGAAACCAUCUGGCUAGAGUCCGGAAGAGGAGAGUGGAAUUCCUGGUGUAGCGGUGAAAUGCGCAGAUAUCAGGAAGAACACCCGUGGCUAAGGCGGCUCUCUAGUACGGUACUGACGCUGAGACGCGAAAGCGUGGGGAGCGAACAGG